rnacentral:rRNA from 1 species
AUUGUCUCAAGACUAGCCAUGCACGUCUAAGUACAAACUAAAUGAUGGUGAAACUGCAAAUGGCUCAUUACAACGGUUAUGAUGUACCCGGGAGUUCCGAUGGAUAUUUCCAGUAACACUAGAACUAAUACAUGUCCCUGCGUUUAUUAGUUUCGCACAGUCCGUCGCUGAGUCAUGGUAAACAGUUGAUCGACUCGACGUCCCGGAACAGUUUCCGCCCCAUCAGCUUCGAUGGUUGGGUAUUGGCCUACCAUUGCAACAACGGGUAACGAGGAAUUAGGGUUUGAUUUCGGAGAGGGAGCCUGAGAAACGGCUACCACAUCUACGGAUGGCAGCAGGCGCGCAAAUUACCCAAUGCAGACACUGUGAGGUAGUGACGAGAAAUAAUAAAGCGGGACUUCUGUUUCGCUAUUAUAAUGAGGAAUAACCAAAGGUCAUUCCGAUUAGCAACUGAUGGGAAAGUCUGGUGCCAGCAGCCGCGGUAAUACCAGCGUCAGUAG